rnacentral:tRNA from 1 species
AGUAUUAUGACUGAUAAAAGUAAUAAACUGUAAAUUUAUUUAUAAGAUAAAUUCUUUGAUACUA